GAUGAACGCUGGCGGCGUGCCUAAUACAUGCAAGUCGAGCGAACGGACGAGAAGCUUUCUUCUCUGAUGUUAGCGGCGGACGGGUGAGUAACACGUGGAUAACCUACCUAUAAGACUGGGAUAACUUCGGGAAACCGGAGCUAAUACCGGAUAAUAUUUUGAACCGCAUAGUUCAAAAGUAUAAGACGGUCUUGCUGUCACUUAUAGAUGGAUCCGCGCUGCAUUAGCUAGUUGGUAAGGUAACGGCUUACCAAGGCAACGAUGCAUAGCCGACCUGAGAGGGUGAUCGGCCACACUGGAACUGAGACACGGUCCAGACUCCUACGGGAGGCAGCAGUAGGGAAUCUUCCGCAAUGGGCGAAAGCCUGACGGAGCAACGCCGCGUGAGUGAUGAAGGUCUUCGGAUCGUAAAACUCUGUUAUUAGGGAAGAACAUAUGUGUAAGUAACUGUGCACAUCUUGACGGUACCUAAUCAGAAAGCCACGGCUAACUACGUG
rnacentral:rRNA from 1 species